rnacentral:rRNA from 1 species
UUAACCGGAUUAGAUACCCUGGUAGUCCACCCCGUAAACGUUGGGAACUAGUUGUGGGGACCAUUCCACGGUUUCCGUGACGCAGCUAACGCAUUAAGUUCCCCGCCUGGGGAGUACGGCCGCAAGGCUAAAACUCAAAGGAAUUGACGGGGACCCGCACAAGCGGCGGAGCAUGCGGAUUAAUUCGAUGCAACGCGAAGAACCUUACCAAGGCUUGACAUAUACGAGAACGGGCCAGAAAUGGUCAACUCUUUGGACACUCGUAAACAGGUGGUGCAUGGUUGUCGUCAGCUCGUGUCGUGAGAUGUUGGGUUAAGUCCCGCAACGAGCGCAACCCUCGUUCUAUGUUGCCAGCACGUAAUGGUGGGAACUCAUGGGAUACUGCCGGGGUCAACUCGGAGGAAGGUGGGGAUGACG